UACGUAGGGUGCGAGCGUUGUCCGGAAUUAUUGGGCGUAAAGAGCUUGUAGGCGGUUUGUCGCGUCUGCCGUGAAAAUUCGAGGCUCAACCUCGAACUUGCGGUGGGUACGGGCAGACUAGAGUGUGGUAGGGGAGACUGGAAUUCCUGGUGUAGCGGUGAAAUGCGCAGAUAUCAGGAGGAACACCGAUGGCGAAGGCAGGUCUCUGGGCCACUACUGACGCUGAGGCACGAAAGCGUGGGGAGCAAACAGG
rnacentral:rRNA from 1 species